ACUGCCGGUGACAAACCGGAGGAAGGUGGGGAUGACGUCAAGUCAUCAUGGCCCUUACGGCCUGGGCUACACACGUGCUACAAUGGUCGGUACAAAGGGUUGCCAAGCCGCGAGGUGGAGCUAAUCCCAUAAAACCGAUCGUAGUCCGGAUCGCAGUCUGCAACUCGACUGCGUGAAGUCGGAAUCGCUAGUAAUCGUGAAUCAGAAUGUCAACGGUGAAUUACGUUCCCGGGCCUU
rnacentral:rRNA from 1 species